GACGAACGCUGGCGGCGUGCUUAACACAUGCAAGUCGAACGGAAACUCCCUGCUUUUUUGGGGUGCUCGAGUUGCGAACUGGUGAGCAACACUUAAGUAACCUGCCACUGCCUGUGGGAUAACUUCAGGCAGCUUGGGCUAAUACCGGAUAAGAGCUCCUGCUUCAUGGUGGGCCUUGGUUAGUUUCGGCGGUUGGUGGUGGACUGGCGUCUUAUCACCUUGUUGGGUGGGUAGUGGCUUACCAAGGCUUUGACCGGUAGCCGACCUGAGAGGAUGAGCGGCUACAUUGCACCGGAACUGAGGCCCAGACUACAAAGGGAGGCAACAGUGGAGAAUAGAGCACAAGAGGAGGGGGCCUGAUGUAGCACCGCAGCGUGCGGGAUGACGGCCUGCGGGUUGUAAUCCACAUUUGCCUGUGACGAAGCGUGAGUGACGGUAAUGGGUAAAGAAGCACCGGCUAACUACGUG
rnacentral:rRNA from 1 species